rnacentral:lncRNA from 1 species
GGUCAAGCAGGGCACCCUGAAGCCUACAAUAUUGUGGGCUAGGGAGCCAAAGAAAAGGACUUUGUAAUGUAUGGUGACAUUGAGAUUGAUUUAUAUGGUAAAUGCAAUUUUAACGGUAAAGGGUAAAGCUUCCAGGAAUUUCACUGCUUUCUAAAAAGGACCACGAAGACCAUGACCAGGAAAAUAACAUGCUCAGAUCAUUUUAGAUCAGCGUGGUUAAGAAUAUCAUCCCUCACAUGGCUUCGUUUAUUGCCUAUGGUGCCUUUCAAAAUCUGUAUCCCUGGUCUAGGUUUUGCUACAAAUCCCUCAUCCACAUUUUAACUGCAUAAUGGACAAGUCCACUUAAAUAUCUGUCAGUUAUCGUCUUAAACUCAACAUUUCUAAAGCUAAAUUCACAUUCUGCCUUUUCUGCUCCCCUCUCUUUUUGUCCCUAUAACACACACACACUUUCUAUAUUCCAGUAUUUGUCAGGAUAGGCUAGCCUUAUUCUGCAAGAAAAAAAAGCCCCCAAAUCUCAAAAGUGUAACAGGUUAUGCUUAUUUCCAGCUCACACGAGAUCCUCCUGUCUUGACUGGGCAGCAAUCCAGAGCAGCUGUCCUCCACGGCGGGACUCAGGGUUCUCAGCUGCAUAAUUCUGUGGCUCUACCAGCUCAACAUAUGGCCUCCCCACUUCUCGCCAAAGAGGAAGAAAAAGACUAGAGAAUGGCACUGGGGUUUCUAUUGCUUCUUCCCAGAAGCAGCAUGCAUCACUCCAUUCUCAUUUCAUUAGCCAGAAGUAGCUGCAUGAUUCCUCCUAGCUGCAGGAAUGGAUAGUUGUCCACGGGCCAGAAAGAAGGAAUAGGACAUGAUAACCACGGAGCCUUGUCUUUGGCCAAAUUUCCUAUUUCAGAUUCCCAGGUGCUGGGACGUGCCACCCAGAUCCCCCUUCAAGUCCAAAGCAAAGAGGUAAUUUCUCCAGCGACUGGAAUGUUGCCAGCUGAUAAGUCACAGCUGGAAACCUUUUAGGGAAUUGCCUUCAACCAAAGGAAGCUGCCUCACUCAGGGUUACUGCUUCACCCCUGGAGCAAGCUUUAUCCAAGAAAUGCAUUUUAUAAUACAAAAGGAAAAAAAU